ACGGGAGGCAGCAGUGGGGAAUAUUGCACAAUGGGGGAAACCCUGAUGCAGCGACGCCGCGUGAGUGAAGAAGUAUUUCGGUAUGUAAAGCUCUAUCAGCAGGGAAGAUAAUGACGGUACCUGAAUAAGAAGCCCCGGCUAACUACGUGCCAGCAGCCGCGGUAAUACGUAGGGGGCAAGCGUUAUCCGGAUUUACUGGGUGUAAAGGGAGCGUAGACGGCAAGGCAAGUCUGAUGUGAAAACCCGGGGCUCAACCUCGGGACUGCAUUGGAAACUGUCUGGCUAGAGUGCAGGAGAGGUAAGUGGAAUUCCUAGUGUAGCGGUGAAAUGCGUAGAUAUUAGGAGGAACACCAGUGGCGAAGGCGGCUUACUGGACUGUAACUGACGUUGAGGCUCGAAAGCGUGGGUAGCAAACAGGAUUAGAUACCCUGGUA
rnacentral:rRNA from 1 species